GCAUGUUCUCAGGGCGGGGUGAAAGUCCCCACCGGCGGUAAGGGUGAUGAGCCCAAGCCCGCGAGCGCCUUCUCUCCCUUCAACGGGCGGGAAGGGUCAGCAGAUUCGGUGCAACUCCGAAGCCGACGGUUAAAGUCCGGAUGAAAGAGAACGGGA
rnacentral:ncRNA from 2 species